GUCCCCAUCGUCUAGAGGCCUAGGACAUUACCCUUUCACGGUAAGGACACGAGUUCGAAUCUCGUUGGGGACACCA
rnacentral:tRNA from 1 species